rnacentral:rRNA from 1 species
UACGGAGGGGGCUAGCGUUGUUCGGAAUUACUGGGCGUAAAGCGCACGUAGGCGGAUAUUUAAGUCAGGGGUGAAAUCCCGGGGCUCAACCCCGGAACUGCCUUUGAUACUGGGUAUCUGGAGGUCGAGAGAGGCGAGUGGAAUUCCGAGUGUAGAGGUGAAAUUCGUAGAUAUUCGGAGGAACACCAGUGGCGAAGGCGGCUCGCUGGCGCGAUACUGACGCUGAGGUGCGAAAGCGUGGGGAGCAAACAGG